rnacentral:rRNA from 1 species
GACGAACGCUGGCGGCGCGCUUAACACAUGCAAGUCGAACGGAAAGGCCUGCUUUCCCUUGUGGAUUGCGGGUACUCGAGUGGCGAACGGGUGAGUAACACGUGAGUGAUCUGCCCCCAACUUGGGUAUAAGCCUGGGAAACUGGGUCUAAUUCCCGAUAGGACUGCAGGGUGGUGCCUGUGGUGGAAAACGAUUUUCUAGUGGUUGGGGAUGAGCUCGCGGCCUAUCAGCUUGUUGGUGGGGUAAUGGCCUACCAAGGCGGCGACGGGUAGCCGGCCUGGGAGGGUGGACGGCCACAUUGGGACUGAGAUACGGCCCAGACUCAUACGGGAGGCAGCAGUGGGGAAUAUUGCACAAUGGGCGGAAGCCUGAUGCAGCGACGCCGCGUGGGGGAUGACGGCCUUCGGGUUGUAAACUCCUUUCGACCGCGAGGAAGCCACCUGGUUGGAAGGGUGGUGACGGUAGUGGUAGAAGAAGCACCGGCUAACUACGUG